rnacentral:rRNA from 1 species
UACGUAGGGUGCGAGCGUUGUCCGGAAUUAUUGGGCGUAAAGGGCUCGUAGGCGGUUUGUCGCGUCGGGAGUGAAAACUCAGGGCUUAACCCUGAGCCUGCUUCCGAUACGGACAGACUAGAGGUAUGCAGGGGAGAACGGAAUUCCUGGUGUAGCGGUGAAAUGCGCAGAUAUCAGGAGGAACACCGGUGGCGAAGGCGGUUCUCUGGGCAUUACCUGACGCUGAGGAGCGAAAGUGUGGGGAGCGAACAGG